UGAGGAAUAUUGGACAAUGGGCGCAAGCCUGAUCCAGCCAUGCCGCGUGCAGGAAGAAGCAUCUAUGGUGUGUAAACUGCCUUUGUACGGGAAGAAACACUCCUUCGUGAAGGAGCUUGACGGUACCGUAAGAAUAAGGAUCGGCUAACUCCGUGCCAGCAGCCGCGGUAAUACGGAGGAUCCAAGAGUUAUCCGGAAUCAUUGGGUUGAAAGGGUACGUAGGCGGUGGAGUAAGUCAGUGGUGAAAGCCCAUCGCUCAACGAUGGAACGGCCAUUGAUACUGCUAGACUUGAAUUAUUAGGAAGUAACUAGAAUAUGUAGUGUAGCGGUGAAAUGCUUAGAUAUUACAUGUAAUACCAAUCGCGAAGGCAGGUUACUACUCAUGGAUUGACGCUGAUGGACGAAAGCGUGGGGAGCGAACA
rnacentral:rRNA from 1 species